UGGACAUAUUAUUGUAUUCGACUGAAUUCGACUGUAUUCACGGCAUGAAAUAGGGGAUUACACUAUUUUUAAACAAAAAGUGAAUCAAUUAACAUGAUAGACUCCU
rfam:Nicotiana sylvestris Nsyl_contig119007, whole genome shotgun sequence.